rnacentral:rRNA from 1 species
CCUACGGGGCGCAGCAGUAGGGAAUAUUGCUCAAUGGGGGAAACCCUGACGCAGCAACGCCGCGUGGAGGAUGAAGGUUUUCGGAUCGUAAACUCCUUUUGUUAGAGAAGAUAAUGACUGUAUCUAACGAAUAAGCACCGGCUAACUCCGUGCCAGCAGCCGCGGUACUACGGAGGGUGCAGGCGUUACGAGGAAUCACUGGGCGUAAAGAGCGCGGAGGCGGGAUUGAUAGGCAGAUGGGAAAGCCUAUGGCUUAACCAUAGACAUGCAUUUGAAACUGUAAUUCUAGAGUAUGGGAGAGGUAGGUGGAAUUCUUGGUGUAGGGGUGAAAUGCGUAGAUAUCAGGAGGAAUACUGAUUGCGAAGGCGACCUGCUAGAACAUAACUGACGCUGAGGCGCGAAAGCGUGGGGAGCAAACAGGAUUAGAUACCCUAGUAGUC